rnacentral:rRNA from 1 species
CUGCGAGUGAAGCGGGAAAAGCUCAAAUUUAAAAUCUGGCGGUCUUUGGSUGUCCGAGUUGUAAUUUAGAGAAGCGUCUUCCGCGUCGGRCCGUGSACAAGUCUCCUGGAAUGGAGCGUCMUAGAGGGUGAGAAUCCCGUCUCUGGCAUGGAUCCCCGGUGCUUCUGUGAUACGCUCUCMAAGAGUCGAGUUGUUUGGGAAUGCAGCUCAAAAUGGGUGGUGAACUCCAUCUAAAGCUAAAUAUUGGCGAGAGACCGAUAGCGAACAAGUACCGUGAGGGAAAGAUGAAAAGCACUUUGGAAAGAGAGUGAAACAGUACGUGAAAUUGUUGAAAGGGAAACGCUUCAAGUCAGUCGCGUCSACCGAGACUCAGCCUYGCCUCGGCUUGGCGUACUUCUCGGCUGAMGGGCCAGCAUCAAUUUYGUCCCUCGAANAAUGGCAAGAGAAAGGUGGCNCCCUUACSGGUGUGUUAUARUCUCCUGUCGCAUGCGAGGGGUGGGAUUKARGAMCUCAGCACGCACCUCUYGGUGUCGGGGCUUCSGCUCACGCUACGUGCUUAGGAWGUUGGCGUAAUGGCUUUAAACGACCCGUCUUGAAACACGGACCAAGGARUCUAACAUGCCCGCGAGUGUUCGGGUGGAAAACCCGUGCGCGAAAUGAAAGUGAAAGUUGGGACCUCUNUCGUGGAGGGCACCGACGCCCGGACCAGACCUUCUGUGACGGAUCUGCGGUAGAGCGUGCAUGUUGGGACCCGAA